AAUAAUUACCAUGACGGAACUUUAAACUGAGCUGGAAAAGAUCGUCCUCGAGUGCGCUUUUAUGAUUCUCUAAAUAUCCCUACUCAUUGCCUAUCGCAAGAACUGCACAAGACAAACGAAAUAGAUUUUCGGAUUCAAACACGAUCAUGGUCUUCACUUUCAUCAAAAAUGUGUAAAUCUUCAAUGAACCUAAUGCCCUACGAUGACUUAUGACCUAAAGUUUGAACUGUAUAGAAACAAGGAUGUUUAAUUAAUGUGCCUAGUUCCUGUUCGAAUCGAUAUACCGAUCGAAAUGAGCUCAAAUAUGAAAUCUGUUACUCCUAGCGAGCAAACUGACAACUCUAUUGCAAUAGUCCCUGUUGCCUGACACACAUGAACUGUUAACAAUGAAAAUGUACUGAAAUUGUGCUGGAGAACCCCGCUUGCUGGAUUUGAUGAAUCUUUACACAACCUUAAAGACAAACAGAGACAAGACUAAUGGCUGCCUAUAUAUACCCAUACCUAGUGUUUGGUGAUGUUUAAGCCGAGCGGAGCAAAUUGCCGUUUGCUGUUUUCAUGGACUUUUCUGAGUCUCGAUAAUCUCCAACAAACAGAAUGGUUUCCUGACACCUAGCCGUGAGGUCCCCUAGCAGUCAGUUAGACUUAAGCCAAGCGAAGGAAAUCUCUAUGGUUAUUUUCAUGAUUCCUGUUUCUCCAUGUCUAAGCCACAAUUUUCAAUGUUCCGUAGAACUGACACUGCCCCGCAGUCAUUACAUCUACCCUCAAUGUACACUUACUGAAUGCUUCUAUUGAUGAAAGAUUACGAAGGACCGCACUACUCCAGACUCCUGUUCAAUAAUUUUAUUUCAUCACUUUUGCUGUAACAAUGGCUGCUGUCUACUGCCACUUCAAAGUUCCUGUUCCACGGCUCUAUUUCUAGAAACCUGCACCCACAUCAGCAGUGGUCUACAUUGAAUACUACUUAUAGGGAAAAUGACACUCAAGAUCUUCUUUUAUGUUAGGUAUCAAGGCGCAAGAAGAUGGAAUUAUAAUUGAUUAUUUUGAGAUGACACGUCUCAAAUAUGAAAUGAAUCCCCUAACAACGACGAGAAGAAAACGAGUAAAGAAGACUGAUAAACUUUAAAUAGAAAAUAACUAAUCCUUAUAUUUUUAUUAAGUAGACAAUAACUCUAAGGAUUUUUUUUGUACAUAAUAACAGUUUGAAAAAUAAACGUUUUUAUUUUUCAAACUAACUAAACAAAUAAACGAU